UAUGUGAUCGUCUCUCGCAUAUCAAUAAGCGGAGGAAAAGAAACUAACAAGGGUUCCCCUAGUAACGGCGAGUGAAGCGGGAAGAGCUCAAAUUUGAAAUCUUAAAGGGUUUCCCUUUACGAAUUGUAGUUUAAAGAAGAGUUUUCUGUUGAGGUUUUGGUAAAAGUUCUUUGGAAUAGGACAUCAUAGAGGGUGAGAAUCCCGUAUUUGACCUUUACUUUCAACUUUGUGAUACACUUUCAAAGAGUCGGAUUGUUUGGGAAUGCAGUCCAAAAUGGGUGGUAAAUUUCAUCUAAAGCUAAAUAUUGGCGAGAGACCGAUAGCGAACAAGUACCGUGAGGGAAAGAUGAAAAGAACUUUGAAAAGAGAGUUAAACAGUACGUGAAAUUGUCAAGAGGGAAGCGUUUGACACCAGUGUUGUUUUUCUGAAAAUCAAUUAAAGAACUGUUUAUGCUAAGUUGUUUAGACUUUAUCAGCUAACUGUUUAGUUUUGAGCUUUUCUUUAAUGCACUUUUCAGUUAACAAGUCAACAUCAAUUUCUUUUGCUGUAAAAAAGCUUGAGGAAGAUGGCUUGAGAUUCGUCUUAAGUGUUUAUAGCCUCUUGCCUAUGCAGUCGGAGAGAUUGAGGUCUGCAGCGUAGAUCCUUCGGGGCUAAAUGCAUUUGUGCUAAGUUAUAGCAUUUCAUAGACAACUUGUUGACUAUGAUUUGUCUUGUAGCUUACUCGCUUAUGUUAUUUUACCUACGCUUAGGAUGUUGAAGACUCUACAGAGAUA
rnacentral:rRNA from 1 species